UGAGGAAUUUUGCGCAAUGGGGGAAACCCUGACGCAGCAACGCCGCGUGAGUGAGGAAGGCCUUCGGGUCGUAAAGCUCUGUCGGAUGGAAAGAAAUGGAUGCGGGUUAACAGCCUUCAUUCUUGACGGUACCAUCAGAGGAAGCACCGGCUAACUCCGUGCCAGCAGCCGCGGUAAUACGGGGGGUGCAAGCGUUGUUCGGAAUCAUUGGGCGUAAAGCGCGUGUAGGCGGCUUGGUAAGUCAGGUGUGAAAGCCCUGGGCUCAACCCAGGAAGUGCACUUGAAACUGCUUUGCUAGAGUACGGGAGAGGAAAGCGGAAUUCCUGGUGUAGAGGUGAAAUUCGUAGAUAUCAGGAGGAACACCGGUGGCGAAGGCGGCUUUCUGGCCCAAUACUGACGCUGAGACGCGAAAGCGUGGGGAGCAAACA
rnacentral:rRNA from 1 species